CCCAAUUGUAGGGUAGGACACAUGGCACUAGGGUUUCUUUAGGGUGGACCCCACCCUCUCAUUUAGUGACACUUGGUCCUAGGAUAUCCCUUCCAGUCGUCACUCUCAUAUUCUUAUUUUCUAGGAAGAACUAAUUUUGGGCUGCAGUGUUUUUGGCUGGAACGUAGGGUGUGUGCUCCCAGCCAUCACUGCACUCCUGAUUUG
rnacentral:lncRNA from 1 species